CUUCCUCGAUCUGCUGCGGGCAUAUGAAGUGGAUGUGGCUGUCCAUGCCGCCGGCGGUGACGAUCUUGCCUUCGCCCGCAAUCACUUCCGUUCCUGGGCCGACGACGAUGGUGACACCCGGCUGCGUAUCCGGAUUGCCGGCCUUACCGAUCCCCGCAAUCCGCCCGUCCUUGAGGCCGAUAUCCGCCUUUACGAUGCCCCAGUGGUCGACGAUCAGCGCAUUGGUGAUGACCGUAUCGACGGCGCCCUCGGCGCGCGUUGUCUGGCUCUGCCCCAUGCCGUCGCGAAUG
rnacentral:sRNA from 1 species